GGAUAACUUCAGGAAACUGGGGCUAAUACCGGAUAGGAGCUCCAGCUGCAUGGUGGGGGUUGGAAAGUUUCGGCGGUUGGGGAUGGACUCGCGGCUUAUCAGCUUGUUGGUGGGGUAGUGGCUUACCAAGGCUUUGACGGGUAGCCGGCCUGAGAGGGUGACCUGCCACAUUGGGACUGAGAUACGGCCCAGACUCCUACGGGAGGCAGCAGUGGGGAAUAUUGCACAAUGGGCGGAAGCCUGAUGCAGCAACGCCGCGUGCGGGAUGACGGCCUUCGGGUUGUAAACCGCUUUCGCCUGUGACGAAGCGUGAGUGACGGUAAUGGGUAAAGAAGCACCGGCUAACUACGUGCCAGCAGCCGCGGUGAUACGUAGGGUGCGAGCGUUGUCCGGAUUUAUUGGGCGUAAAGGGCUCGUAGGUGGUUGAUCGCGUCGGAAGUGUAAUCUUGGGGCUUAACCCUGAGCGUGCUUUCGAUACGGGUUGACUUGAGGAAGGUAGGGGAGAAUGGAAUUCCUGGUGGAGCGGUGGAAUGCGCAGAUAUCAGGAGGAACACCAGUGGCGAAGGCGGUUCUCUGGGCCUUUCCUGACGCUGAGGAGCGAAAGCGUGGGGAGCGAACAGGCUUAGAUACCCUGGUAGUCCACGC
rnacentral:rRNA from 1 species